UAACGUGCAGGUUUGUUACAUAUGUGUACAUGUGCCAUGUUGGUGUGCUGCACCCAUUAACUCAUCAUUUACAUUAGGUAUAUCUCCUAAUGCUAUCCCUCCCCGCUCCCCCCACUCCACAACAGGCCCCGGUGUGUGAUGUUCCCCUUCCUGUGUCCAUGUGUUCUCAUUGUUCAAUUCCCACCUAUGAGUGAGAACAUGCAGUGUUUGGGUUUUUGUCCUUGCGAUAGUUUGCUGAUAAUGAUGGUUCCCAGCUUCAUCCAUGUCCCUACAAAGGACAUGAACUCAUCAUUUUUUACAGCUGCAUAGUAUUCCAUGGUGUAUAUAUGCCACAUUUUCUUAAUCCAGUCUAUCAUUGUUGGACAUUUGGGUUGGUUCCAAGUCUUUGCUGUUGUGAAUAGUGCCGCUGUAAACAUACGUGUGCAUGUGUCUUUAUAGCAGCAUGAUUUAUAAUCCUUUGGGUAUAUACCCAGUAAUGGGAUGGCUGGGUCAAAUGGUAUUUCUAGUUGUAGAUCCCUGAGGAAUUGCCACACUGACUUCCACAAUGGUUGAACUAGUUUACAGUCCCAUCAACAGUGUAAAAGUGUUCCUAUUUCUCCACAUCCUCUCCAGCACCUGUUGUUUCCUGACUUUUUAAUGAUUGCCAUUCUAACUGGUGUGAGAUGUUAUCUCAUUGUGGUUUUGAUUUGCAUUUAUCUGAUGGCCGGUGAUGAUAAGCAUUUUUUCAUGUGUCUUUUGGGUGCAUAAAUGUCUUCUUUUGAGAAGUGUCUGUUCAUAUCCUUUGCCCACUUUUUGAUGGGGUUGUUUGUUUUUUUCUUGUAAAUUUGUUUGAGUUCUUUGUAGAUUCUGGAUAUUAGCCCUUUGUCAGAUGAGUAGAUUGCAAAAAUGUUCUCCCAUUCUGUAGGUUCCCUGUUCACUCUGACGGUAGUUUCUUUUGCUGUGCAGAAGCUCUUUAGUUUAAUUAGAUCCCAUUUGUCAAUUUUGGCUUUUGUUGCCACUGCUUUUGGUGUUUUAGACAUGAAGUCCUUGCCCAUGCCUAUGUCCUGAAUGGUAUUGCCUAGGUUUUCUUCUAGGGUUUUUAUGGUUUUAGGUCUAACAUUAAAGUCUUUAAUCCAUCUUGAAUUAAUUUUUGUAUAAGGUGUAAGGAAGGGAUCCAGUUUCAGCUUUCUACAUAUGGCUAGCCAGUUUUCCCAGCACCAUUUAUUAAACAGGGAAUCCUUUCCUCAUUUCUCGUUUUUGUCAGGUUUGUCAAAGAUCAGAUAGUUGUAGAUGUGUGGCAUUAUUUCUGAGGGCUUUGUUCUGUUCCAUUGGUCUAAAUCUCUGUUUUGGUACCAGUACCAUGCUGUUUUGGUUACCAUAGCCUUGUAGUAUAGUUUGAAGUCGGUAGUUUGAAGUCAGGAACAAAGCCUGUAGUAUAGUUUGAAGUCAGGAACAAAGCCUCCAGCUUUGUUCUUUUGGCUUAGGAUUGACUUGGAAAUGCAGGCUCUUUUUUGGUUCCAUAUGAACUUUAAAGUAGUUUUUUCCGGUUCUGUGAAGAAAGUCAUUGGUAGCUUGAUGGGGAUGGCAUUGAAUCUAUAAAUUACCUUGGGCAGUAUGGCCAUUUUCAUGAUAUUGAUUCUUCCUACCCAUGAGCAUGGAAUGUUCUUCCAUUUGUUUGUAUCCUCUUUUAUUUCAUUGAGCAGUGGUUUGUAGUUCUACUUGAAGAGGUCCUUCAUAUCCCUUGUAAGUUGGAUUCCUAGGUAUUUUAUUCUCUUUAAAGCAAUUGUGAAUGGGAGUUCAUUCAUCAUUUGGCUCUCUGUUUGUCUAUUAUUGGUGUAUAAGAAUGCUUGUGAGUUUUGCACAUUGAUUUUGUAUCCUCAGACUUUGCCGAAAUUGCUUAUCAGCUUAAGGAGAUUUUGGGCUGAGACGAUGGGGUUUUCUAGAUAUACAAUCAUGUCAUCAAAUCUUAGUAAAUGCCAUUGUCUCUUAUUUCUCUGAUCAUCCUUUGGGAACUUUAGGCACAAUCUGUCUCUGUUUGUCUGUCUCUUGCCCUCUCUCCUUUUUUCUCUCAUCUUCUCAUUUUGGGUUACUGGAUAACAGUGGUCCGAGAAGUUACAUAUGUUUCAUGGGACUUUAACAUCUCUGUAACAUUGUUGCAAAGACAGCACAUGAUAAAAGUUUGUUUUUUCAAUUCCAACGAACAUGUUUGGAUAUGUAUAUGAUUGCCAUUUAAAUAGCAAAAAUAUAUGCAAUAACCUAUACAAAACUUCUGUAAAGAAAAUGCUAUUGACAGCUGUAAUAAUGCCACUAACUUUUGUUUCCUCCUCUAUUACUUCUCAUAAAAGUUUCCAAGGCCUCUCAUAUUCCAAGACUUUUGCUCAGUAAAGCUAAACAUCACCUUGCCUAUAAAGCAUAAGUACUUGAAAGAAAAUCCAUGCUGCCAAAGAAGAAGAAGCAGUAACCCAUACUUUCUUUAUUUCAACCAUUUCAAAAAUAAUCAGGUUCACAGCUGAGCAAUGACCUUUCCAAGAGAAAAGUGGUGUGAUGACAGAUCAGGUGAUUUGACAAUGAGGUGCUAAUGGCUUAGAGUUAUUUUCACGUUCUCUAUUGCUAGAAAGAUCCUGUUCAGAAUUCAAAAUCAGCUAUAUGUUCAAACUGCAGCCUGUGGCAAGGAGACAUACACUUGGCCUAAGACAGUGCAGUGUUUGAAAGUAGAGCGGACCUUGAAAUCUGCUGCUUUACUACUUAAAAUUAUUCAUCUUGAAAGGAACCUCAAAGAAGAUACAGCCAGCAUUUAUCAAAGUGGAGUCUCUAAUUUCAAGAAUUCACAAAAAUCAAGAUUCUUGGGCUAUGCUCCAGACCCAUUUAAUCUGAAUUUCUGGGGUUUGGCCCUGAGAAAAUGAUUUUUAAAGAAACUCCACAGGAUUCUGAUUCAUACUAAUGUUUGUGAAUCAAUAUUCUAGAUCAUCCUUCACUUUGUAUGAAUUGGUGAUUUAUUGUUGCCACAAAUAUGCUGGUUGUUUGAGUGACCAAAGUAAAGAUAAUUUUCAGUUAGCAGGCUGAUUUCCCUCCAUUUGAGUUUAUGAUACAAUAUCUGCAUUAAUUUAAUGAAUAUAUGUAUGCUUGAUUUGCUACAACUGAAAAAAAACAUUUUUGGCAAGGGAAAAUCUUUAUCCCGUAACAACAACUUUUGCGAAAAUCUGCGUUUUUUUCUCAUACUAUAUAAUGCAAGAACUUAUCUUCAUUUAAGAGCUUGAUUGGAACAACUCUAGGUUGUAACAUCACGAAAACACAUCCAUGCAUGAGAUAAAAAAAAUACUUUCAAUGACACUUUUCUUUAGACACAAGUUACUUGAAAUAAUAUAUCAAUAGGUAUCAAAGGCUAAAAGAGAAAAAUACAGUCGAGAAAUCCUAGUUGCAUGGCCUUGAUGAAGAUGCACAGAGAUAGGUAUAUUACAUAAAAUUACAUGAGUACAGAAAACCCAGGGUUAAGAGUUUAGUUUAACUUUGCCUUGCCAAUUUUAUGUAGAGAUAGCUUAGCUGAGUGGUUCUGCUGUAGGAUCUCUCAUGAGUUUGUACUCAAGGUGUUGGCUGGGGCUGCAGUCAGCUACAACUUUUCCUGGGGCUGGAAAAUGUAAUUCCAAAAUUACUCAAAUGGCUGUUGGCAAAAGGUCCCAGCUCCUUGCCACAUGGACCUCUCCAUAGGGCUGUAGAUGAGAUGACAGCUGGUGUCUCUCAGAACACAUGAUUGAAUAGCAAAGAGAGUUACAUCACACUGCGUUUAUGACCUAGUCUCUGGGUCACUUCUGCCUUAUUCUAUUCGAAGUGAAUCAGGACAUCUAACCCACACUCAACAGGAGGAGACUAUAGAAGAAUAUGAAUAUGUGUCAGGAGGCAAGGAUCACCGGGGUUCAUAUUGGAGGCUGGUUUCUUUAACGAGGCCACCUUGGUAGGAGAAAGUAAGAAGAUAUGACCAGUUAUCUCCUCCAUCAGACAAAGGCACUAUUGAUUGUUCAGGAAAUUAAGUGGCCCCCUUUGCACCACAGUGCAAAAAAUGUACUCUUCUUUGGUGAAUCUUUAUUAUGUUGAUUGUUAAAGUGAUAUCUGUACAUAUUAAAUGUGUUAUGGCCUUAAGUGUUACAAUCCUUGCUCUGUGUAUAUUUACAUUUAUAUGUGUAUCAAUAUUCUCAAGCAGGAACACAGCACUGCCCUUCCAGCUCCCUCCCCCAGCUAGAGGACAUCUGGCAAUUUGACAUUUUGGUUGUCACAAUCUAGGGGACAGGGCUACUACUAGCAUCUACAGGGUAGAGCCAGUGGUACUGCUAAAUAUCUUAUAAUCCAUAGUACUGCUCCUGCAAUGAAGAAUUAUCUGGCUUAUGAUGUCAAUAAAAAUAAUAAUUUUCAUCAGAAAAGAGUUGUAUCAUUUUCAAAACACUUUCACAUGCAUUAUUUUAUUGAUGCUCAUAAAGUCAUUGUGAGGUAAUAAGCUUUCUAAUUUAUGGAUGAGGAAAUUGAGGUUUAAAAGGGAAAAGUGACUUUACCAAUGUCAUAUUACUAGAAAAGUGAAGGUGUUAGAGCACGAAAAUUAAUCUUCAGCCCUCUCUUACUUUCCAUACUUUUUCCUGGCAAUGUCCUGUGGGCAAAGAUAAAUGUGCCAGUCUCCUUCACUUCAAGCCCAGCAUGGUACUUUCCACUUGCUAGAGCUUCAAAAAUGUGUUUGUUGAUUGACUAAUUAUAAAUGACAUCAAGGACAGUCAACUGUAUUAUUCCCCCCUAGUUUUUAAAUAAGAAAUGUCAACUGAUAUGGUUUGACUCUGUCCCCACUCAGAUCUCAUCUUGAGUUGUAGCUCCCACAAUUCCCACAUGUGGCUGGUGAUAGCUGGUGGGAGGUAAUUGAAUCAUGGGGGCAGGCCUUUCCCAUGCUGCUCUCGUGAUAGCGAAUAAGUCCAUGAGCUCUGAUGGUUUUAUCAAGGGGAAACCCCUUUCACUUGGCUCCUACUCUCUCUUGUCUGCCACCACGUAAGACAUGCCUUUGCUUCCCCUUUGCCUUCAGCCAUGAUUGUGAGGCCUGCCCAGCCAUGUGAAACUGUGAGUCAAUUUAACCUCUUCCAUUUAGAAAUUACGCAGUCUCAGGUAAGUCUUUAGUAGCAAUGUGAGAACAGACUAAUAUAACAACUCAGAUCCCUAGGAAAGAUUUCUGUGUAAUUCAACAUACAUUUCCUGUUUUACAUGAAUAGAUGGCUGUAGCAUGUCUGGUUGUUUUUUUUUUUGUUUGUUUGUUGUUUUGUUUUUUUUUUUUUUAAUUUUGCUCUGGUGUAAAUCUUAGAGUAGUUCAAAAUGUAAAACCCCAAAACUUUUAGCUAGCAACAGGAUGUAGCCAUUCCGUGGCUUCCUUUUAACUGAAUAUGCACAGGCAGAGGAGCCAAGAGAAGGAACCAGCUUUUCUGAGUGACAGCAUAUUUCAAAGACAGGUAAAGGACAAACUGGAACAGAACUGGGGGUAAUACAUUGAAAACAAAACAAAACACAACAAGAAACAGUAACACGCAUGGAUCUCUGCCCAGAUUCCCACCCAAAAACUAAUUUAUUAAGCUGAUAUAAUAACACUGUGCAACAAUAGCCAGGCUAGCUUAGCUUUAUAUUUAGCUCAAGAAGCAAUUAAAGACAAAAAGAAAAAGAACACUCAUACUGUACAUGAUGAACAAAUCACAAGAUGUUCAACACAUUUGUUUAGCAGACAGUAGAAACAAUCCACCUGCAAUUUUUGAAAUGUUCUCCAAACUUGGGUUAAAAUUUUGUAAAACUGAAGCAAGCAGCUAACUUGGUCAAUUCAGUUAAGGGGGGAAGAAAACCCAUAGUUAUUUGGCAAUAUGUCAAAAUACGUUCUGACAGAGAAAAAAACUCCACAUUCAAACUGAUGAUUUGGCUGAAAUUUUCACUUUUUAAUUGGCGCUUCUGUUCUGAUCUGAGGCAGGCUAUUUUUUUAUUUUUAGCAUUCUUUACCUUCUUCCAUGCUUAGAGUCUCAGUUUUUUCUCAUCUUCUGUUUCACAAAGGUUCUAGCUACUGGAACUGAUCUUACUUUUAUCAGUACAUGUAUCAAUUUUUCUACCUCAUGUAUGAGUGCAUAUUGAAUUUCUUUUUAAAACUGAGGACAAAAUUAACUAUGAAUCUUUGCUGUGAGUGCUUGAUAUUUAACAUUGAAAUAUUGAAUGAAGAAGGAGACAGAUUUAUGGUCAACAUGGGAGAUCAUGAGUUCAGUUUUUGUCUAUUUCCAACUUUAGUUUUCUGUUUUCUCAAUAUUUACAAAGAAUAUAAAGGUGAGAAUAAGAUUGUUUGCAAACCUUCUCUAUUAAAAACUUUAUUAUAUAAAUAAAUAUAAAUAUAUGGUUAUAUUUUAGUGCUUCCCUGAUGUAAGGUGAAUGAAAAUUUCCCCUCUCCCGCUUAGUCUUGUCUUAUAUUAUCUGAUGAUUUUUAAAAUAUUAAAUAGACUGGGUUUAAAUAAAUCGAUGGCAUUUGAUGAAAAAUAUUUGAUAUGGUAAAGUAAUGCUGUCAGAAAGUAAGUAAAUAAGCCAGAUUGUUUUCAUUAUUAUGUUAAAGCUGAUAAUGUACCUGUUC
rnacentral:lncRNA from 1 species